rnacentral:misc_RNA from 1 species
GAACGCACAUUGCGCCCAUUAGUAUUCUAGUGGGCAUGCCUGUUCGAGCGUCAUUUCAACCCUUAAGCCCUCGUUGCUUAGUGUUAGGAGCCUACAGCGAUGUAGCUCCCUAAAGUUAGUGGCGGAGUCGGUUCACACUCUAGGCGUAGUAAAUUUUAUCUCGUCUCUGUAGUUGGAUCGUCCCCUGCCGUAAAACACCCCAAUUUCUAAAGGUUGACCUCGGAUCAGGUAGGAAUACCCGCUGAACUUA